rnacentral:tRNA from 1 species
GGUGAGAUGGCCGAGUGGUCUAAGGCGCUGGUUUUAGGCACCAGUCUCUCCGGAGGCGUGGGUUCGAAUCCCACUCUCAUCA